UCGGAGACGUCAACAGGCCGCGCCCAAUUGGAGACUGCAGAGAUCUUCUCGGGAUCGGUGGAGACACCUGCGCUGGAGAUCACAUGCCCAAGGACAAUGGGGGAGGCGUAGGGGCUGCUGCUUUCCCUGAUGACCUGGCUAUCCAGCAGCUGCCGAAUAUGGGCCUUAACGGCCUCAUACUCUGAGGGAGGUAUACGUCGGUACCUCUGGCGGACUGGGGCUUCAUCUAGUAAAGGGAUCUCAUGGCAAAUAAGAUUCCCAUCCCGCACUAGGCCUAAGCUCUGGCCUCCCCCGGACUUCACACUGCCUGCCACAAAUGGAAGGAACAG